AGACAUUUGGUCUAGUGGUAUGAUUCUUGCUUUAGAUUUUAGGAAUUCCUCGAGUUCGAUUCUCAUAAUGUCCU
rnacentral:tRNA from 1 species